AGUAGGGAAUCUUCCGCAAUGGGCGAAAGCCUGACGGAGCAACGCCGCGUGAGUGAUGAAGGUCUUCGGAUCGUAAAACUCUGUUGUUAGGGAAGAACAAAUUUGUUAGUAACUGAACAAGUCUUGACGGUACCUAACCAGAAAGCCACGGCUAACUACGUGCCAGCAGCCGCGGUAAUACGUAGGUGGCAAGCGUUAUCCGGAAUUAUUGGGCGUAAAGCGCGCGUAGGCGGUUUCUUAAGUCUGAUGUGAAAGCCCACGGCUCAACCGUGGAGGGUCAUUGGAAACUGGGAAACUUGAGUGCAGAAGAGGAGAGUGGAAUUCCAUGUGUAGCGGUGAAAUGCGCAGAGAUAUGGAGGAACACCAGUGGCGAAGGCGGCUC
rnacentral:rRNA from 1 species